rnacentral:rRNA from 1 species
GAGGAUGCUUUUGGUGAGGUGCCUUCCGAGUUCCCUGGAACGGGACGCCUUAGAGGGUGAGAGCCCCGUACGGUUGGACACCGAACCUCUGUAAAGCUCCUUCGACGAGUCGAGUAGUUUGGGAAUGCUGCUCUAAAUGGGAGGUAAAUUUCUUCUAAAGCUAAAUAUUGGCCAGAGACCGAUAGCGCACAAGUAGAGUGAUCGAAAGAUGAAAAGCACUUUGAAAAGAGGGUUAAACAGCACGUGAAAUUGUUGAAAGGGAAGCGUUUGCGACCAGACUUUUUCCUAGCGGAUCAUCCGGUGGUUUCCACCGGUGCACUUCGCGAGGAUUAGGCCAGCAUCGGCUUCUGUAGGGGGAUAAAAACAGUGGGAACGUGGCUCCUCCGGGAGUGUUAUAGCCCUCUGUAUAAUACCCUUAUAGGGGCCGAGGACCGCGCCCUCGGGCAAGGAUGCUGGCGUAAUGGUCGCCAACGACCCGUCUUGAAACACGGACCAAGGAGUCGAACAUUGAUGCGAGUGUUAGGGUGUUAAACCCCUGCGCGAAAUGAAAGUGAACGUAGGUGAGAGCCCUUUACGGGGUGCAUCAUCGACCGAUCUUGAUGUCUUCGGAUGGAUUUGAGUAAGAGCAUCACUGUUCGGACCCGAAAGAUGGUGAACUAUGCGUGGAUAGGGUGAAGCCAGAGGAAACUCUGGUGGAGGCUCGCAGCGGUUCUGACGUGCAAAUCGAUCGUCAAAUCUGCGCAUGGGGGCGAAAGACUUAUCGAACCAUCUAGUAGCUGGUUACCGCCGAAGUUUCCCUCAGGAUAGCAGUGUUGUUCUUCAGUUUUAUGAGGUAAAGCGAAUGAUUAGGGACUCGGGGGCUCUUUUUUGCCUUCAUCCAUUCUCAAACUUUAAAUAUGUAAGAAGCCCUUGUUGCUUAGUUGAACGUGGGCAUUCGAAUGUACCAACACUAGUGGGCCAUUUUUGGUAAGCAGAACUGGCGAUGCGGGAUGAACCGAACGCGGGGUUAAGGUGCCGGAGUGGACGCUCAUCAGACACCACAAAAGGUGUUAGCACAUUUAGACAAUAGGACGGUGGCCAUGGAAGUCGGAAUCCGCUAAGGACUGUGUAACAACUCACCUAUCGAAUGUGCUAGCCCUGAAAAUGGAUGGCGCUCAAGCGUCCCACCCAUACCUCGCCCUCAGCGUAGGACCUAUGCGCUGAGGAGUAGGCGGCCGUGGGGGUUUAG